UACGUAGGGGGCUAGCGUUGUCCGGAAUCAUUGGGCGUAAAGCGCGUGUAGGCGGUCCGGUAAGUCCGCUGUGAAAGUCGGGGGGCUCAACCCUCGAAUGCCGGUGGAUACUGUCGGGCUAGAGUGCGGAAGAGGAGAGUGGAAUUCCUGGGUGUAGCGGUGAAAUGCGCAGAUAUCAGGAAGAACACCUAUGGCGAAGGCAGCUCUCUGGGACGGUACUGACGCUGAGACGCGAAAGCGUGGGGAGCGAACAGG
rnacentral:rRNA from 1 species